rnacentral:rRNA from 1 species
CGUAGGGUGCGUAGCGUUAAUCGGAAUUACUGGGCGUAAAGCGUGCGCAGGCGGUUUUGUAAGCCAGAUGUCGAAAUCCCCGGGCUCAACCUGGGAAUGGCAUUUGGGACUGCAAGGCUUGAGUGCGGCGGAGGAGACUGGAAUUCCUGGUGUAGCAGUGAAAUGCGUAGAUAUCAGGAGGAAUACCGAUGGCGAAGGCAGGUCUCUGGGCUGACGCUGACGCUCAUGCACGAAAGCGUGGGGAGCAAACAGGAUUAGAUACCCUGGUAGUCCACGCCCUAAACGAUGUCGACUGGUUGUUGGGGGUUUGACACUCUCAGUAACGAAGCUAACGCGUGAAGUCGACCGCCUGGGGAGUACGGCCGCAAGGUUA